rnacentral:rRNA from 1 species
GGAAGGGUGGUAUUUAUUAGACUGAAGCCAAUAUUCCUUGUGUCUAUUGCGGUGAUUCAUAAUAACUGAUCGAAUCUCUUUUUGAGAUAAAUCAUUCAAGUUUCUGCCCUAUCAGCUUUCGAUGGUAGUGUAUUGGACUACCAUGGCAGUAACGGGUAACGAAGAAUUAGGGUUCGAUUUCGGAGAGGGAGCAUGAGAAACGGCUACCACAUCUAAGGAAGGCAGCAGGCGCGUAAAUUACCCAAUCCUGACUCAGGGAGGUAGUGACAAGAAAUAGCAAACCGGGAACCUCAUGGUUUCACGGUAUUGCAAUGAGAACAAUUUAAAACCCUUAGCGAGAAUCAAGUGGAGGACAAGUCUGGUGCCAGCACCCGCGGUAAUUCCAGCUCCACUAGCGUAUAUUAAAGUUGUUGCAGUUAAAAAGCUCGUAGUUGAACCUCUGUCUGGGGCUAGUUUUGGCUUUGGUCAGGCUAGUUCUAGGCAUCCGCCUACAAGACUUAGAGGGCAUUCAGUUGUUCACUAGGAGGAGUAGGCAUUUUACUUUGAAAAAAUUAGAGUGUUUAAGGCAGGCAAUCGCCCGCAUAUAUUAGCAUGGAAUAAUAGAAUAGGACACUUUUCCAUUUCGUUGGUUAUUGGAAUCGUGUAAUGAUUAAUAGGGACAGUUGUGGGCAUUUGUAUUUAAUUGUCAGAGGUGAAAUUCUUGGAUUUAUUAAAGACAAACUAGCGCGAAAGCAUUUGCCAAGGAUGUUUUCAUUAAUCAAGAACGAAAGUUAGGGGAUCAAAGACGAUCAGAUACCGUCCUAGUCUUAACUAUAAACUAUUCCGACUCAAUGUUUGACUGGCUUAUAUAACCAGUUGAGCGUUGUAUGAGAAAUCAAAGUCUUUAGGUUCUGGGGGGAGUAUGGUUGCAAAGCUGAAACUUAAAGGAAUUGACGGAAGAGCACAACCAGGAGUGGAUUCUGCGGCUUAAUUUGACUCAACACGGGGAAACUUACCAGGUUAAAACAAUAGUGGGAUUGACAGUUUGAGAGCGCUUUCUUGAUUGGUUGGGUGGUGGUGCAUGGCCGUUCUUAGUUGGUGGAGUGAUUUGUCUGCUUAAUUGCGUUAACGAACGAGACCUUAACCUGCUUACUAGACUGGCGAUCAUCAAUCGUUAGCUCUUCUUAGAGGGACUUUGGUUGUUUUAACUCCAAGGAAGUUUGAGGCAAUAACAGGUCUGUGAUGCCCUUAGAUAUCCUGGGCCGCACGCGUCAUACAAUGACUAGUUCAGAAAGUUUUCUCCUGACCCGAAAGGGGAUGGGUA